rnacentral:rRNA from 1 species
GACGAACGCUGGCGGCGUGCUUAACACAUGCAAGUCGAACGGAAAGGCCCUGCUUUUGUGGGGUGCUCGAGUGGCGAACGGGUGAGUAACACGUGAGUAACCUGCCCUUGACUUUGGGAUAACUUCAGGAAACUGGGGCUAAUACCGGAUAGGAGCUCCUGCUGCAUGGUGGGGGUUGGAAAGUUUCGGCGGUUGGGGAUGGACUCGCGGCUUAUCGGCUUGUUGGUGGGGUAGUGGCUUACCAAGGCUUUGACGGGUAGCCGGCCUGAGGGGGUGACCGGCCACAUUGGGACUGAGAGACGGCCCAGACUCCUACGGGGGGCAGCAGUGGGGAAUAUUACACAAUGGGCGGAAGCCUGAUGCAACAACGCCGCGUGCGGGAUGACGGCCUUCGGGUUGUAAACCGCUUUCGCCUGUGACGAAGCGUGAGUGACGGUAAUGGGUAAAGAAGCACCGGCUAACUACGUG